GAUGAACGCUGGCGGCGUGCCUAACACAUGCAAGUCGAACGGAAAGGCCCUGCUUUUGUGGGGUGCUCGAGUGGCGAACGGGUGAGUAACACGUGAGUCACCCGCCCUUGACUUUGGGAUAUCUUCAGGCAACUGGGGCUAACACAGGAUAGGUGCUCCUGCUGCAUGGGGGGGGUUGGAAAGUAUCGGCUGUGGUGGAUAGACUUGCGGCUUAUCAGCUUGUUGGUGGGGUAGUGGCUUACCAGGGGUUUGACGGAUAGCCGGCCUGAGAGGGUGACCGGCCUCAUUGGGACUGAGAUAGGGCGCAGAGUGCUACGGGAGGCAACGGGGGGGAGUAUUGCACAAUGAGCGGGAGCCUGAUGCGGAAGUGCCGCGAGCGGGAUGACGGCCUUGGUGUGAUAAAGCGCAUUCGCCUGUGACGAAGCGGGAGUGACGUUAAUGGGUAAAGAAGCACCGGCUAACUACGUG
rnacentral:rRNA from 1 species